CCUACGGGUGGCAGCAGUGGGGGAUAUUGCACAAUGGGGGGAACCCUGAUGCAGCGACGCCGCGUGGGUGAAGGAGUGCUUCGGCAUGUAAAGCCCUAUCGGCAGGGAAGAAGCAAGACGGUACCUGACUAAGAAGCCCCGGCUAACUACGUUCCAGCAGCCGCGGUAAUACGUAGGGGGCGAGCGUUAUCCGGAUUCACUGGGUGUAAAGGGAGCGUAGACGGCCAUGCAAGCCAGGGGUGAAAGCCCGGGGCCCAACCCCGGAGCGGCCCUUGGAACUGGGCGGCUAGAGUGCGGGAGGGGCAGGCGGAAUUCCUGGUGUAGCGGUGAAAUGCGUAGAUAUAAGGAGGAACACCGGCGGCGAAGGCGGCCUGCUGGACCGUGACUGACGUUGAGGCUCGAAAGCGUGGGGAGCGAACAGGAUUAGAUACCCCUGUAGUC
rnacentral:rRNA from 1 species